rnacentral:tRNA from 1 species
GGUCGUUUAGCUCAGCUGGGAGAGCACCUCCCGUACAAGGAGGGGGUCACUGGUUCGAUCCCAGUAACGACCACCA